AAGUCGUAACAAGGUCUCCGUUGGUGAACCAGCGGAGGGAUCAUUAAAGAGUUGCAAAAACUCCCUACAAACCAUCGCGAACGCUACCCCAGACGUCGUUGCUUCGGCGGGCCUGCCCGCCGGGGGGACGCCCACACAGGCUCUUUGCAGUUACCCGGCCUCUCUGAGUUUGAUUAUACCAAAUCAGUCAAAACUUUCAACAACGGAUCUCUUGGUUCUG
rnacentral:misc_RNA from 1 species